rfam:Flavonifractor plautii ATCC 29863 genomic scaffold Scfld686, whole genome shotgun sequence.
GGGGGCGUACUGGUUUCGACGGGGACGUAGAGGCGGGAAUAGCGGGCGGAUGCGCCUAUCAUCCUUAAAAUGGGCAGCUUAUAAAUUAAAGAACAACGAUAACGUUGAGCUUGUCGCGGCUUAAGCCGUGACCGUCCCGUCCGGAAGGACCACGAGCCGGAACGGGGCGUCGUUUAGUGGUGCACGUGUGUGCGCAAAGCUUUGAGCGCACCAUGAACAAUGAAGCUACCAAGCCCUGUAGUUUGACGGCCUACGCCGGGGUAAGGGAAUGUAAAUGACCGUCUGCGCCCGGAGAGGUUCCCGAGGAAGCGUUUUCGGACGGGGGUUCGACUCCCCCCGCCUCCACCA